UGGACCUCAAAUCAGGUAGGAUUACCCGCUGAACUUAA
rnacentral:rRNA from 1 species